UAUGACAACAACGAUGACAAC
rnacentral:piRNA from 1 species